ACGGUUUGGCUUUAGUCGUUCUGGACCUUUCUUUUAGCUUUUCACUUUCCUCUCGCGCAUACAUGGAGUUCCUUCCUUCCGUCUCCGAUUUGUUUUCUCUACCCGUACCGCUUCAUCUUUUUGGUUGUUCAAAUUAAUCAGCCUCUUGUUUUGUUGUUCGCGAAUUGGUUAUCAAAGUUGAUUUCUUGAAAAUCAAUAAGGGGUUAGAAGCUUCUACCCAUUUUUAAUCCGAAUAGAAUUUGUUCUGGGCUGAUCUAAUCCAACCUUUUCAGGUCAGAAAGCUUGCUUAAAUUUCGAUUUUUAUUGAACUCAAGAAUGCUUCUUCAGUUUUUCAGGUUGAUUUGAAGGAACUUUUUUACCCAAAAAAGCUAGGGUUUCCUGGAAACGUUGGUCUUCGAAUAUUGGGGUUUUUGUGUGCAAGCCCUUUGUGAUCAAGGCUUAAUUAUUAGGUUGCUGAAGGAGGAUUUGAAUUCGAUUUUUUUUUUUCACAAUUCAGACCAUUCAUUAGUUAACACAAAGCAAGGUUUUGAUUGUUUUAGAAAACUUCUGUCUCCUCGCUCUAGAAGAGAACUGAGAAGAUUCUGAAAGAUUGUGUGUAAAUUCCAUCUGGGUUCUUCAAAUUCAAGCCCCCCAAAUUUGAGCAGUUUGUGUUACCCGGACUUAUCGAAUCAAGGCAGCUGCAAGGAAAUUUGAGCCUUGGCCUGUAGAGAUACGAUUUUGCAAGGAAGCUAGGUUCCCAUACUGCAGGGGUUUGGAGCCUUGCACUCAUCAAUAUCUGAACAGAAAGAGAAUGAAUUAAAUCCAUGAACAAUAGAUUUAUUUACCUUGGCAACCACCUGGGAGGUAUGGGUUCCCUUCGUAACCUGACCAGCACCGGCAUAUGUAGCCUGAAGACCGAGUAUGGCAGGAGCUAUUUGCCUUGCAUGCAAAAGUGCUCUCGUUUUUAGCUGCAAUAUCACAUGACUUAUUCCCAAUUACCCAAUCAAUAAUUGCCGGAAGCUUGGUUGUUUCGUUUAGUUCUCGAAAACUCGUGCUGGUAAAGUUGAACUCGCCUUCUUGCACAAGGAACGCGUAGCUGCAUCGGUGGGAGUCCUGCACAUCCGUAUAAUUGUCUAAACUUCCCAAGGUCACAGUCUGAUUUUGCAGCCCACCGGGGAUUUUAGUUUGGCAACAUCCAAAGCCAGAGCAAGUAUCCCGCUGAUCGAUAGCUUUGCCAAGAUUGUCACAUAUGGACAUACACCCAGUUGUGUACUUUUCUUCACCCCGGUAACCUAUAAAAAACGCAUAUGUGUCGCAUCCAACUGCAACGAACACGUUUUUGGUUUUGGAGAUGGUGUAAGGAGGAGGCACCCAGAGCUUGGGACGGUUCCGUCGGGUCCUGUUGCCUUGGGCAUCAUAACAAUCACUGGAUGUGAACUGUAGUAUUUGGAGCUCACCGUCAUAAAGAGAAAUGUUGGUAAUUUCGAGAUUGCUCGUCAUCAUAAAUGCUGUUGGCGGUUGAGUGGAAAUGUUAUAAGUGAUGUUAAACCGGUCGUUGAGGUAGCAACCAUCGCCUAUGCCAAAUGGGUAUGGAAUUGUGAGAUUACCACAAUGGUCAGGGCAGCCAGGCAGUGCCUGAGGCGGAAGGAGAGAUUGAGCUGUGGUUGGAGUUGGAAUUCCUAGUAAAAUUGUAACUACCACCACCAUUACUAAAGAGAGAUGCAAAAUAUGCAUCCUCCUAAGUAACGCCAUAUAGUAUUAACUGAAAGGGGUCGAGCAGAUCCUAGCAGUAGCAGAGAAUAAAAUCCAAGCAGGUGAUGGAUCCAAGAAA